rnacentral:rRNA from 1 species
GAUGAACGCUAGCGAUAGGCUUAACACAUGCAAGUCGAGGGGCAGCGCGGGUAGCAAUACCUGUCGGCGACCGGCGCACGGGUGAGUAACGCGUAUGUAACCUGCCCGCAACAGGGGGAUAACCCGGCGAAAGUCGGCCUAAUACCGCAUAAAAUAGGGGUCCCGCAUGGGAAUAUUUGUUAAAGAUUUAUCGGUUGCGGAUGGGCAUGCGUACCAUUAGGUAGUUGGUGAGGUAACGGCUCACCAAGCCUUCGAUGGUUAGGGGUUCUGAGAGGAAGGUCCCCCAGACUGGUACUGAGGCACGGACCAGACUCGUACGGGAGGCAGCAGAGAGGAGUAUUGGUCAAGGGGCGAGAGCCUGAACCAGCCAAGUCGCGUGAAGGAUGACUGCCCUAUGGGUUGUAAACUUCUUCUACAAGAAAAUAAAAUGAGAUACGGGUAUUUUAUUGCAGGUACCUUGGGAAUAAGCAUCGGCUAACUCCGUG